rnacentral:rRNA from 1 species
GUGAGGAAUAUUGGACAAUGGAGGAAACUCUGAUCCAGCCAUGCCGCGUGAGUGAUGAAGGCCUUCGGGUUGUAAAGCUCUUUCGGCAGGAACGAAACGGUGAGCUCUAACAUAGCUCGCUAAUGACGGUACCUGAAGAAGAAGCACCGGCUAACUACGUGCCAGCAGCCGCGGUAAUACGUAGGGUGCGAGCGUUAAUCGGAAUUACUGGGCGUAAAGCGUGCGCAGGCGGUUGUGUAAGACAGGUGUGAAAUCCCCGGGCUUAACCUGGGAACUGCGCUUGUGACUGCACGGCUAGAGUAUGGCAGAGGGGGGUGGAAUUCCACGUGUAGCAGUGAAAUGCGUAGAGAUGUGGAGGAACACCGAUGGCGAAGGCAGCCCCCUGGGCCAAUACUGACGCUCAUGCACGAAAGCGUGGGGAGCAAACAGGAUUAGAUACCCCAGUAGUCC